rnacentral:rRNA from 1 species
AAUGACCGAAUAUCCGUAACGCAUGCAAGUCGAGCGGACAGAAGGGAGCUUGCUGCUGGAUGUUACCGGCGGACGGGUGAGUAACACGUGGGUAACCUGCCUGUAAGACUGGGAUAACUCCGGGAAACCGGAGCUAAUACCAAGCUAGUUCCUUGAACCGCAUGGUUCAAGGAUGAAAGACGGUUUCGGCUGUCACUUACAGAUGGACCCGCGGCGCAUUAGCUAGUUGGUGAGGUAACGGCUCACCAAGGCGACGAUGCGUAGCCGACCUGAGAGGGUGAUCGGCUACACUGGGACUGAGACAAUUCGACCUACGGGAGGCAGCAGUAGGGAAUCUUCGAUAAUGGACGAAAGUCUGACGGAGCAACGCCGCGUGAGUGAUGAAGGUUUUCGGAUCGUAAAAGCUCUGGUUGUUAGGGGAAGAAGGUGCAAGAGUAACUGCUUGCACCUUGACGGUACCUAACCAGAAAGCCACGGCAAACUACGUGCCAGCAGCCGCGGUAAUACGUAGGUGGCAAGCGUUGUCCGGAAUUAUUGGGCGUAAAGGGCACGCAGGCGGUUUCUUAAACCUAGGCAGCCCCCGGCUCAACCGGGGAGGGUCAUUGGAAACUGGGAAACUUGAGUGUAGAAGAGGAGAGUGGAAUUCCACGUGUAGCGGUGAAAUGCGUAGAGAUGUGGAGGAACACCAGUGGCGAAGGCGACUCUCUGGUCUGUAACUGACGCUGAGGAGCGAAAGCGUGGGGAGCGAACAGGCGGAGAUACCCUGGUAGUCCACGCCGUAAACGAUGAGUGCUAAGUGUUAGGGGGUUUCCGCCCCUUAGUGCUGCAGCUUACCGCAUUAAGCACUCCGCCUGGGGAGUACGGUCGCAAGACGUGAAACUCAAAGGAAUUGACGA